rnacentral:rRNA from 1 species
UACGUAGGGUGCGAGCGUUAAUCGGAUUUACUGGGCGUAAAGCGUGCGCAGGCGGCCCGUUAAGAUAGGUGUGAAAUCCCUGGGCUCAACCUAGGAAUUGCGCUUGUGACUGGCGGGCUCGAGUACGGUAGAGGGGGGUGGAAUUCCUGGUGUAGCAGUGAAAUGCGUAGAGAUCAGGAGGAACACCGAUGGCGAAGGCAGCCCCCUGGGCCUGUACUGACGCUCAUGCACGAAAGCGUGGGGAGCAAACAGG